rnacentral:rRNA from 1 species
UACGUAGGGUGCAAGCGUUGUCCGGAAUUAUUGGGCGUAAAGAGCUCGUAGGCGGUUUGUCGCGUCGAAUGUGAAAACCCGGGGCUCAACUCCGGGCCUGCAUUCGAUACGGGCAGACUAGAGUUCGGUAGGGGAGACUGGAAUUCCUGGUGUAGCGGUAAAAUGCGCAGAUAUCAGGAGGAACACCGGUGGCGAAGGCGGGUCUCUGGGCCGAUACUGACGCUGAGGAGCGAAAGCGUGGGGAGCGAACAGG